ACUCAAACGUGUCUCCGGAAAACUAUUUAAAUCGACCGUUUAUGCACAAAUAAAUUAAAAAGUCUUUUCACUAGUGGUGAAUACAAAAUGAGUGACUAAAUUUCAAUUUCAAAAGCAAUCCACGUGAUUGGUUAUAGACUAUUGUUGAUAAGUGAAAACAGUUUUUUGAGUUGGCACCCCUAUCAGAAAUGUUUAAAUUAACGUUUAAGAAUGCAUCGAAUUCCGAAAAAUCGCCGUGCAGCAAUGAAAAUAAAGAAAAUAAAGAUGAAGUGCGUGAGAAAAUAUUCCUCCGUCCAGGUACAAUCGAAGAGGAACCGGAUUCGGUAUCUAGCAUGAUAAGCAAUCCGGCGUCCUUUCCGAUAACAAUCAUCCCGAGCAGUAAUAUGUCGCGGUCAGGUACUCAAAUCAGCAUGAAUCGAUACAGUCGGCAGAGUAGUUCCAGAAGCCGUGGGUACCGUCCUGGUAGUUCGAGGAAGAUACGCCGAAGGGCAGUGCUAAAAAAUGGCGAAUGCAAUGUGAUCCAGAAGAAAAUCGCUCAGAGACGAAUCCGUUUUCUGCAGGACAUUUUCACCACCUUAGUCGAUUCACAGUGGCGCUGGACGCUGCUGGUGUUCGCAUUAAGCUUCUUCUUGUCGUGGCUGGCAUUUGCGGUCAUUUGGUGGCUCAUUGCAUUUACGCACGGUGAUUUGGAGGAAAUGCAUCUACCACCGCACCAAGGUGAUAAUGCAUGGACGCCAUGUGUCUUUAACAUCGUCUCGUUCACUUCUUGCUUCCUAUUCUCGAUUGAAACUCAACACACAAUCGGUUAUGGCGUUCGUACCACGACCGAGGAAUGUCCCGAAGCAAUAUUCAUGAUGUGUUUCCAAUCCAUUUACGGUGUCAUGGUGCAGGCGUUCAUGGUCGGUAUAGUGUUUGCCAAAAUGACCAGGCCCAAGCAACGCACCCAAACAUUGCUGUUUACGAAAAAUGCGGUCAUUUGUCAAAGAGACGGUGAACUGGCACUUAUGUUCCGAGUCGGUGAUAUGAGAAAGAGUCACAUCAUUGGAGCAAGUGUUCGCGCUCAGUUAAUCCGUAGUCGACAGACCAAAGAGGGUGAAAUGCUGGCACAGUAUCAAACUGAACUCGAAAUCGGAAGCGAUGGAUGCUCAUCAGAUCUGUUCUUCAUAUGGCCAACGGUUAUUGUACAUGUCAUCAAUGCCGACUCACCAUUCUAUAAUAUGUCCGCAGCCGACAUGUUGCAGGAUAAAUUCGAAAUUAUUGUGCUAUUGGAAGGUACCGUCGAAUCAACCGGUCAAACUACACAGGCCCGAACCAGUUAUCUGAAUAUGGAAAUUCUGUGGGGCCACCGAUUUGACCCAGUCGUCGGUUACAAUAAAGAGCGACAAGGCUACGAGAUUGACUACUCGAAAUUCAACGAAACGAUUCAAGUUGACACUCCGUUGUGCUCGGCAAGGGAAUUGGCUGAGUUUUAUGCAGUACAGGGUGAUUACAGAAAUGCAGAAGACACUCCAUUCGCAUUCCAAGAACAGCAACGGCGACUGCAGCCGGAACCAGUAAAUGAUGACAAGGAUGUUGCAUUGCCAUAAACAUAUUGAUUGAAUAAUUUUGUGUGUUCGUCCGUUCUUUGCUUCUUGUUCUCUACUAUAUGUAAUUUCUAAGUCACAGUGUGUCGAACGACAUCAAACGACUACCGCUGCUAUCAACCGUAAUUCCUAACGGAUUGACUAAUCAACCGUCAAAGUUCAAACAAAAGGGCUACGAAUCGGUUACAAAUUCUCAUCUGUACAUUUCCAAUCAGAAUAAAUUCUACCGUCGACAUUCGGACAGCUGCAGUGAUUCGGAGUCGGUGAAAUCGCACCCAGGCUUCACAAGGGUGUGAUCGUAUAUUCUAUGUGAAAAUGGGAUGAGUUUAUUGGAUUGGUCAGACCGGAGAGAUAUUAAUUUAUUUUACAAAAUUUGAUGUAACUUCCAUAAUAAUCAAGUAUAUGAGUGUGGUUGUUGUUGUUACUUAUGUGUAAGUAGUGGUGUAGCAUUAUGUGUCUGCAAAGAAAAAAAAAGUCAAAUGAAUUAAAUUCAAUUUAAUUGACAAAA